rnacentral:lncRNA from 1 species
UCUAACCUUGACCUCAUUUUCAUGGUUCAGUGGUUAUAGUUAAGUUUUUGUGUUUUGGUCAGUUUUUCUUAUACUGUAUGCAAUAGGUCUACUAUAUUUGGUGUAUGGAAUGAUUGUAAGGUGUACAUGUCUAGCUGGCAGGUGUCAUCUGACCUUGACCUCAUUUUCAUGGUUCAGUGGUCAAACUUAAGUUUUUGAGUUUUGGUCUUUUUUAGCUCACCUGGCCCAAAGGGUCUUCGUCUGUUAACUUUUACAAAAAUCUUCUCCUCUGAAACUACUGGGCCAAAUGAAACCAAACUUGGCCACAAUCAUUAUUUGGGUAUCUUGUUUAA